GUCUUUUUGAAUUUUAUAUAAAGUCUAACCUGCCCAUUGAAAAUAUUUUAAAAGGCUGCAGUAUUUUGACUGUACAAAGGUAGCAUAAUCAUUAGUUUUUUAAUUGUAAACUUGUAUGAAUGGUUGAAUGAGAAAUUAACUUUUUUAGAAGAAAUAUAGAAGUUUACUUUUUAAUUAAAAGGUUAAAAUAUAUUUAAAAGACGAGAAGACCCUAUAGAGUUUUAUAAUUAAUUUACUAUUAUAUAAAAAGUUUAUUAUAGUUAAUAAUAAAUUGAUUAUUUUAUUGGGGUGAUUAUAAAAUUUAAAUAACUUUUAUUUAAAUAUUUCAUUAAUUUAUGGUUAAUUGAUCCAAUAUUAUUGAUUAAAAAAUUAAAUUACCUUAGGGAUAACAGCGUAAUUUUUUUUUAAGUUCUUAUUAAUAAAAAUUUUUGCGACCUCGAUGUUGGAUUAAGAUUAAAUUUAGGUGCAGCAGUUUAAAUUUUAAGUCUGUUCGACUUUUAAAUUCUU
rnacentral:rRNA from 1 species